GAUGAACGCUGGCGGCGUGCCUAAUACAUGCAAGUCGAGCGAACGGACGAGAAGCUUGCUUCUCUGAGGUUAGCGGCGGACGGGUUAGUAACACGGGGAUAACCUACCUGUAAGACUGGGAUAACUUCGGGAAACCGGAUCUAAUACGGGAGAAUAUUUUGAACCGCAUGGUUCAAAAGUGAAAUACGGUGGUGCUGUCACUUAUAGAUGGAUCCGCGCUGCAUUAGAUAGUUGGUAAGGGAACGGCUUACCAAGGCAACGAUGGAUAGCCGACCUGAGAGGGAGGACGGCCACCCGGGAAGAGAGAAACGGUCACGACACUGACGGGAGGACGCAGUCCGAACUCCUACGGAAUGGGGGAAAGCGUGACGGAGCAACGUGGCGUGAGUGAUGAAGGUGCUCGGCUCGGAAAAUGAUGUAAUUAGGGAAGAACAUAUGUGUAAGUAACUGUGCAGAUCUUGACGGUACCUAAUCAGAAAGCCCCGGCUAACUACGUG
rnacentral:rRNA from 1 species